UAGCAACUUAGAAGUAGUCCAACCCACCCACCUUGCUCUUCUUUGCAUGCACCGAGGACGGUACAAAUUUAUAAAUGUGGGGAGGUCGUACGACC